AUCNGGCUACCAUGCAGUCGAGGGGCAGCAUUUCAGUUUGCUUGCAAACUGGAGAUGGCGACCGGCGCACGGGUGAGUAACACGUAUCCAACCUGCCGAUAACUCGGGGAUAGCCUUUCGAAAGAAAGAUUAAUACCCGAUGGUAUAAUCAGACCGCAUGGUCUUAUUAUUAAAGAAUUUCGGUUAUCGAUGGGGAUGCGUUCCAUUAGGCAGUUGGUGAGGUAACGGCUCACCAAACCUUCGAUGGAUAGGGGUUCUGAGAGGAAGGUCCCCCACAUUGGAACUGAGACACGGUCCAAACUCCUACGGGAGGCAGCAGUGAGGAAUAUUGGUCAAUGGGCGCAGGCCUGAACCAGCCAAGUAGCGUGAAGGAUGACUGCCCUAUGGGUUGUAAACUUCUUUUAUAUGGGAAUAAAGUUUUCCACGUGUGGAAUUUUGUAUGUACCAUAUGAAUAAGGAUCGGCUAACUCCGUGCCAGCAGCCGCGGUAAUACGGAGGAUCCGAGCGUUAUCCGGAUUUAUUGGGUUUAAAGGGAGCGUAGGUGGACAGUUAAGUCAGUUGUGAAAGUUUGCGGCUCAACCGUNAAAAUUGCAGUUGAUACUGGCUGUCUUGAGUACAGUAGAGGUGGGCGGAAUUCGUGGUGUAGCGGUGAAAUGCUUAGAUAUCACGAAGAACUCCGAUUGCGAAGGCAGCUCACUGGACUGCAACUGACACUGAUGCUCGAAAGUGUGGGUAUCAAACAGGAUUAGAUACCCUGGUAGUCCACACAGUAAACGAUGAAUACUCGCUGUUUGCGAUAUACAGUAAGCGGCCAAGCGAAAGCAUUAAGUAUUCCACCUGGGGAGUACGCCGGCAACGGUGAAACUCAAAGGAAUUGACGGGGGCCCGCACAAGCGGAGGAACAUGUGGUUUAAUUCGAUGAUACGCGAGGAACCUUACCCGGGCUUAAAUUGCAUUUGAAUANUNUGGAAACAGNNUAGCCGCAAGGCAAAUGUGAAGGUGCUGCAUGGUUGUCGUCAGCUCGUGCCGUGAGGUGUCGGCUUAAGUGCCAUAACGAGCGCAACCCUUAUCUUUAGUUACUAACAGGUCAUGCUGAGGACUCUAGAGAGACUGCCGUCGUAAGAUGUGAGGAAGGUGGGGAUGACGUCAAAUCAGCACGGCCCUUACGUCCGGGGCUACACACGUGUUACAAUGGGGGGUACAGAAGGCAGCUACCUGGUGACAGGAUGCUAAUCCCAAAAGCCUCUCUCAGUUCGGAUCGAAGUCUGCAACCCGACUUCGUGAAGCUGGAUUCGCUAGUAAUCGCGCAUCAGCCAUGGCGCGGUGAAUACGUUCCCGGGCCUUGUACACACCGCCCGUCAAGCCAUGAAAGCCGGGGGUACCUGAAGUACGUAACCGCAAGGAGCUCCUAG
rnacentral:rRNA from 1 species